rnacentral:rRNA from 1 species
GACGAACGCUGGCAGCGUGCUUAACACAUGCAAGUCGAACGAAGUUGCGAACGGGUGAGUAACGCGUAAUCAACCUGCCCUUCAGAGGUGGACAACAGUUGGAAACGACUGCUAAUACCGCAUACUGAAGGAGGAGAUUCCGUUUGAGUAGCUAGUUGGAGUGGUAACGGCCCACCAAGGCGAGGAUCAGUAGCCGGUCUGAGAGGAUGAACGGCCACAUUGGGACUGGGACACGGGCCAGACUCCUACGGGAGGCAGCAGUGGGGAAUCUUCCGCAAUGGACGAAAGUCUGACGGAGCAACGCCGCGUGAGUGAUGACGGCCUUCGGGUUGUAAAGCUCUGUUAAUCGGGACGCGGUACCGGAAUAGAAAGCCACGGCUAACUACGUGCCAGCAGCCGCGGUAAUAC